rnacentral:rRNA from 1 species
GGGAUCUUCGGACCUUGCGCUAAUAGAUGAGCCUAAGUCAGAUUAGCUAGUUGGUGGGGUAAAGGCCUACCAAGGCGACGAUCUGUAGCGGGUCUGAGAGGAUGAUCCGCCACACUGGGACUGAGACACGGCCCAGACUCCUACGGGAGGCAGCAGUGGGGAAUAUUGGACAAUGGGCGAAAGCCUGAUCCAGCCAUGCCGCGUGUGUGAAGAAGGCCUUUUGGUUGUAAAGCACUUUAAGCGAGGAGGAGGCUACUGAGAUUAAUACUCUUGGAUAGUGGACGUUACUCGCAGAAUAAGCACCGGCUAACUCUGUGCCAGCAGCCGCGGUAAUACAGAGGGUGCGAGCGUUAAUCGGAUUUACUGGGCGUAAAGCGUGCGUAGGCGGCUUUUUAAGUCGGAUGUGAAAUCCCUGAGCUUAACUUAGGAAUUGCAUUCGAUACUGGGAAGCUAGAGUAUGGGAGAGGAUGGUAGAAUUCCAGGUGUAGCGGUGAAAUGCGUAGAGAUCUGGA